AUGGCACACAACCAUGCAUUGUUAUGCAAGUUCACCGCUCGGGUUUUACAGAGCUCUGAUGUCCCCUGCUAUCAGUGGUUCGCCCAUCAAUAUUGUGCUGCUCGCAUUCCCCGCAGCUCAGCCAACAGAGACACCGUUAUUUGGAAGGGCUUCAAGGAACACAUUUCCAUGAUUACAUCCUUGACGUCUUACUACCUUGGUAAAGGCCAGCUGCUCUCGUUCUGGCAUGACAAGUGGCUGGGAGUCGGCCGUCUUCAUUUCGUCUUGUCAGUCCUAUACUCCUAUGCGAAGGACAAUAAUUGUAUAGUCGCCUCUCAGUUUGCCAAUGGUUGCUGGGAUGUUCAGUUGCAUCCUAAUCUCUCAAACACUGCGGUUCAGGAGCUGCAUCGUCUCCACUCUCUUCUGCUGGAGGUGAUGCCUGCUUCGGCACACCCGGACCUCCGGCGAACUGCCGUCUGCCACCGUGAGGUCACCACAUCAUAUAUAUAUGGGUUGCUGAAUUUCAGAGGUAUGUCGUGUACGUUCGCGCAGUGGAUCUGGGACCCGAUCAUCCCUCUCAAGGACCGGAUCUUUCUUUGGCUAGCUUUUUGGGGCCGACUCAAUACGCAGGAUAACAUGACAAAGAAGGGCUGGUUUUCUGUUGCCUCUCACCCGGAUUGCGAUAUCUGCCCGGCCACUGAAUCUAGCAGUCACUUUAUCCUACGAUGUGCUCCGGCUGUUGCUAUCUGGUGCAAGUUGAAGGUGGCCAGGCAUGCCUCCUGUUCCCCGGACUUGGUGGAGUUUGUGCAGAAACUACAACACUGCUGGCCUGCUGCCUGGAAAGUGCAUAUUCUUUUUGCUGCAUGUGCCGUCAUGCUGUGGCAUGCAAGAAACGAUCGGGUUUUUCAUCUUCACCGUUGGGCACCGUCUUACACCAGGCAAUAUGCUGUCCAGCUCUUGUCACUUUGGAGGAAUAGGGUUAUGCGUACAAGAGAUAAGGAGGCUAUAGAUUUCUGGGUGCAACAAUUUAGUUCUUAG
rnacentral:rRNA from 1 species